rnacentral:rRNA from 1 species
AUUGAACGCUGGCGGCAGGCCUAACACAUGCGAGUCGAGCGGAUGAAGGGAGCUUGCUCCUGGAUUCAGCGGCGGACGGGUGAGUAAUGCCUAGGAAUCUGCCUGGUAGUGGGGGAUAACGUCCGGAAACGGGCGCUAAUACCGCAUACGUCCUGAGGGAGAAAGUGGGGGAUCUUCGGACCUCACGCUAUCAGAUGAGCCUAGGUCGGAUUAGCUAGUUGGUGGGGUAAAGGCCUACCAAGGCGACGAUCCGUAACUGGUCUGAGAGGAUGAUCAGUCACCGUGGAACUGAGCCACGGUCCAGACUCCUCCGGGAGGCAGCAGUGGGGAAUAUUGGACAAUGGGCGAAAGCCUGAUCCAGCCAUGCCGCGUGUGUGAAGAAGGUCUUCGGAUUGUAAAGCACUUUAAGUUGGGAGGAAGGGCAGUAAGUUAAUACCUUGCUGUUUUGACGUUCCCAAAAGAAUAAGCCCCGGCUAACUUCGUG